rnacentral:rRNA from 1 species
UGAAAAAAAAACAUUUUUAAAUUGAAUUUUUUUUGUUAAAGUAGCAUAAUUAAUUGUUAUUUAAUUGUUAACUUGUUUGAAUGGUAAUUUAUCAAUAGUUUUUUUUUUGUAAUAUUUCUUUAAUUUUUUAUUUUAGUAAAAAAACUAAUUAAAAAAAAAAAGACAAUAAGACCCUUUAAUUUUUACAGAAGUUUUAUAUUUGUUAAAUAGGGAAUUUUUAAAAAAUUUAUUUAAUUAAAAACUUUUUUUUAAAAAAUAAAUAAAUAAUACUAAAGGGAUAACAGGGUAAUAAUUUAUUUUUAAAUUGUUUUCUACCUCGAUGUUGAAUCAAAAUUUUCUAAUAAAUUAAAAAUUUUUGAGAAA